UGCACAAUCGCACUAGCACCUUCAUCCGUAUAGACGGCUGCUCGAAAGUAUAUGGAAAUGGAGGGACCGAGAUGUCUAUAAAUACGGCCAUCCGGCAAGCGCAAUAUGAAAUACACAGCUGAAACUUAUCAUCACAGGCCAGCCAGACUGAGCUCUGAUGGGGUUCUUGGCCAGAGCUUGGCGUUUCAUGGUACUACUCCAGAUCGCUCUCUUCACCGUCUCCGCGGUGAUGAUGACCGGUUCCUUGACUGUGGCCCGCGAGAUCAGUGGUUCCGCGGCAGUGGUGCGCGACAUCAAUGGUGGUACUCUGGACCCUAACCGUCCUGUGUGUGUCAACGGACCGUGCAGACCUGGUGAACCCUACAUCCCUCGUCCUCGUCCAUGCCGCACAAUCUACGGGUGCCGUGACCAACCCCCCUCUCCCUAAUAAUGGAAGCAAGGAUACAGCCUUUAUGCAUGCUUCGUACCAGUACAGGUUACUGCAGUGUACUGAAACGACUGUAGUAUCCCCUCCUAUGUGUGCUUACAUCUUUAAUACUCCGAAUAAAACAGGAAGCAUGUCCGGCCAUGAAAUUAUUGUAUGAACAUGGAAGUACAAUUCCGAAUCUACAAGAGACGGAGUAACUCA